GAUGAACGCUAGCGGCAGGCCUAACACAUGCAAGUCGAGGGGCAGCACGUCUUCGGAUGGUGGCGACCGGCGCACGGGUGCGUAACGCGUAUGCAACCUACCUCUUACAGUGGGAUAGCCCAGAGAAAUUUGGAUUAAUACCGCAUAGUAUACAGAUUCAGCAUUGGGACUGUAUUAAACAUUUAUGGGUAAGAGAUGGGCAUGCGUUCUAUUAGUUAGUUGGAGUGGUAACGGCACCCCAAGACAGCGAUAGAUAGGGGCCCUGAGAGGGGGACUCCCCCGACACUGGUACUGAGACACGGACCAGACUCCUACGGGAGCAGCAGUGAGGAUAUGGACAAUGGGCGAGAGCCUGAUCCAGCCAUGCCGCGUGCAGGAAGA
rnacentral:rRNA from 1 species